rnacentral:rRNA from 1 species
CCCGGCGAGGGGAGUGAAAAAGAACCUGAAACCGUGUACGUACAAGCAGUAGGAGCCUCUUUAUGGGGUGACUGCGUACCUUUUGUAUAAUGGGUCAGCGACUUAUAUUCUGUAGCGAGGUUAACCGCAUAGGGGAGCCGUAGGGAAACCGAGUCUUAACUGGGCGAAUGAGUUGCAGGGUAUAGACCCGAAACCCGGUGAUCUAUCCAUGGGCAGGUUGAAGGUUGGGUAACACUAACUGGAGGACCGAACCGA